CCGCCUUCUAUAAUCAGAAUCUCGUGCCUACGAUAUUAUCUUUUCUUAUGCUUUUAAAACUAUGAACACCCUGAGAACCAGGAAACUGAAGUCUUAGGAGUUUCUUGCUAAGGAAGAAAAACAGAAUUGUUUCCAUGUUUGGCUGUCUAGUGCCAAUUAUUUCAUAGACUUAAAGAAUCAGACUUUCAGAGAACAUUUAAAACUUCCUCAUCCCAAUCAACAAAUUGGAUCCUCAGGGAAGCCUUGGGUUGCAUAAAGCUAAGUUGUGUAUGGCUACCAUGAUGUCAGGACAGAUACACUAGAGUAUACCCCGGCUAAAACAGUGGGGCAUGCAAGGCAUGCAGCAAAAGGUUCUUGAUGUUGCCAUGGAAAUCGGAUUCUUCCUCGUUGCUCUUGGAACUGGAGAAUGGACUGUGCCUCCUCUGUGCCAGCCACUUUGUGCCAGGAGCAGGGAUUUGACAAAGGACCCCAGAAGAGCAGCCUCAGCCCUUUAGUACCCUACCCCCACCUCUGUGGCCUGUGGUCACAGCCCUUUCCUCUUGUAUCGGCCUCCAUAGUCCCCUCCUCCACCCACCUCCUCCAGGCCCACCAUUAAUGAGACUCAGAAGGAGGGGGCAUAGAAACUUGAAAGAGUACUUCCUUUCUUAUUUAUAGGUCUCCACCGGAGGACUAGAGGCAAGGAGUGUGGUCUCUUCCCUGGAGCAAGGGGCAAAGCUCUCACAGGGGGCUGGGUCCUGGCUGGGCUCGGCCUGUGACCCCUUGUGCCUUAAUCUCCCCAGCUGUACAAUUAGGUAAAAGUUGGGCUACAAUGAAAACCAGAUGUUCCAUCAG